AAAAGCCCAGCUAAGUUUGAGUUUCAAAUACUUUUUUUUUAGUAGAAAAAGACCCCAAUAUUGCAUGAGAUGUAAUUAUACUAAAAAAGUGUUCACUCUUUAUCUGAAAUGCAAACUUAGCUUGGCAUCCUGUUAUCUGGCAAUCCUCAUCAAAAACAGCAGCUACAUGGAAGGAGGGUAGCAGGGAAGAGAAAAACCACAGUCCCUGCUGCCCCAGUAGGCUCUUGGGGGCAUGGGGGAAAGCUAAUGGUAAGUCAGCAUCCACAUUUUACUACCUGGGACCGAACAUUUUAAAUUCAUGAAUAGAGACUGCUUUUGAUCUAAAGUGGUACCAGGAACUAAUUCCCUAGGAAUAGUCAAAAAAAAAAAAAAAAAAUCACGGGAAAGGUCUGGGCUUUUCAUAGCGUAGAAAGAAGGGACAAGAGGGCAGCCCUCUUCCCGCGUUCCCACUGAGCAGGUUUGAGGGGCAGCAGGAAACAAGGCUGACUGCAUUGUGGCACCCCUCCAGGCUGCCUUGGACGAGUUAAGAUGGGAUCCGUCAGCUUGGUCCCUAACCCCAGGUAAAGAUGGAACAGAUGCUGGCUGUGACCAGGAGUCCUGAAUUUGCCUUGCACCAUUUCCCUCCACCGGACUGGGAGCCACUGCGGGGCAGGAAGCUGCCUUUUCCAUUUCCCAAGACCGGAAUCAAUCACAGCGGCUCAUCGCAUCAUGCAUCCUCUGCAAUGGUUCCUUCCUUUCCAGGGAGGUUGGUCACGGCCAAUGCUGUCCUGUGUCCACCAGGUGGCGCUCGCGAUCACCGCAAAACACAUGGCUACCGUGAUGGUUUUUAAAUAAGAAAUCUUACAAUGGUUUUAGACAUAAAGGACUGUUGAGAAUAUGAUAGAGAGUUCGUGUGCGACCCGCACCCUGUUCCACUGCGCCUUAACAUCUGACAUGACUCUGGUCCAUCUGUCACCAUGAAGGAGCCAAUUCAUAUAUGAGGUCUUGCCAAGUUGCCCAGGCUGGUCUGGAACUCCUGGACUCAAGUGAUCCACCCACCUCAGCCUCCCAAAGUGCUGGGAUUAUAGGUGUGAGCUGCUCCGCCCAGCCCAGAAGCAAACCUUAUAUUCAGUCUCAUUGGAUUAAAUUCUAUCCCUCCACAAAA